AUCCUGGCUCAGAUUGAACGCUGCGGGCAUGCCUUACACAUGCAAAGUCGAACGGCAGCACGGGAGCAAUCCUGGUGGCGAGUGGCGAACGGGUGAGUAAUAUAUCGGAACGUGCCCAGUCGUGGGGGAUAACGUAGCGAAAGCUACGCUAAUACCGCAUACGAUCUACGGAUGAAAGCGGGGGAUCGCAAGACCUCGCGCGAUUGGAGCGGCCGAUAUCAGAUUAGCUAGUUGGUGGGGUAAAGGCCCACCAAGGCGACGAUCUGUAGCUGGUCUGAGAGGACGACCAGCCACACUGGAACUGAGACACGGUCCAGACUCCUACGGGAGGCAGCAGUGGGGAAUUUUGGACAAUGGGCGCAAGCCUGAUCCAGCAAUGCCGCGUGCAGGAUGAAGGCCUUCGGGUUGUAAACUGCUUUUGUACGGAACGAAACGGUCCUUUCUAAUACAAGGGGCUAAUGACGGUACCGUAAGAAUAAGCACCGGCUAACUACGUG
rnacentral:rRNA from 1 species